CACCCCUCUAGGUCAUCACAGAGAGCCAGGCUGGACUCCCGGUAUUAUGACUUCAAUUUCACUGGAAGUACAUCUCAGGCUAGUUUUCAGACAGGUAGGUUAUAGGAGAGCAUGGCCAGAAAACAUCCCUCAAACGGAUAAAUCUGUUAUGUAGUGUUCAUGAAGCAAUGAAACCUCAGACUGAACUUCUAAAUAAACGUUUGUAGCUACAAAUGAGCUAGAGCCUUUUCUUCUCAGCUUAGUAAGUAUUUCCUUCUGCCCUAUAGGGUCAGACUAAUAUUGAUUGUAAUUCUCUACUACCACCUAGUGGAAAAUCCAUCCGUUUCUUAUUUUAAAAAUUCCAUAGUAAAUACCUGAUUGCUUGUUGUCAAGUUAUCUUGUUAUAAAAAGUUCAAACCCUAUAGAAGAGUGUAAAAAGGGUAACUGCUGCUGCUGCUGCUAAGUUGCUUCAGUCGUGUCCGACUCUGUGCGACCCCAUAGACAGCAGCCCACCAGGCUCCCCCGUCCCUGGGAUUCUCCAGGCAAAAACACUGGAGUGGGUUGCCAUUUCUUCCUCCAAUGCAUGAAAGUGAAAAGUGAAAGUGAAGUCGCUCAGUCAUGUCUGACUCUUAGCGACCCCAUGGACUACAGCCUACCAGGCUCCUCCGUCCAUGGGAUUUUCCAGGCAAGAGUACUGGAGUGGGGUGUCAUUGCCUUCUCCAAAAAGGGUAAAAGGGCUCCUUUUUCACUUGCCCUUCCCCUAUCACUCUGCUUCCCAAAGGUAACUGGGCUCUGUGGCCUAUAUCCUGCAAGAACACUUCCUGUAUUUUUUACAUAUUCAGAGGUACAGCAGAAAAAUUCUAAGACAUCAGCUGAAGAUUGUUUUGUCUUUCUAUUAUAGAGAUGGAGAAAGCAUCACCACUUCAUGCCUUGAGUGGCCACAGGCGGACAAAGAUGGUCAAAAGGUUAAACUCUUGGAGGGAUAGAUUAGGAGUUAGAGAUUAACAUAAACACACUACUAUAUAAAACAGAUAACUAAGAUCCACUGUAUAACACAGGGAACUGUACUCAAUAUUUUAUAAUAACCUGUAAGGGGAGAGAAUCUGAAAAAAAUGUAUAACCGAGUCACUUUACACCUUAAGCUAACAGCACUGUAAAUCAACUAUACUUCAUUUUUUUUUUUUUAAAGAUAAAAAAUGGUGAAGCUUUUGAACUUAAAGUUUACUUUUGAAAACUAUGGUAGAAGAAAGAAGAAUGAAAGGCCUAAAUUGGGAAAUAUCUGGUCAGUAAAUGGUAGAUUUGGGAAGGACUCCUGUUGAAGUUAGUGCCACUGUUCUUGCCUGGAGUUGAUACGGGAUCUAUGGGCUGAGGAGAGUGUCAGGGACGGGACCAGAG
ensembl:lncRNA